rnacentral:rRNA from 1 species
GAUGAACGCUCGCGGGAGGCCUAACACAUGCAAGCCGAGCGGUAUUGUUUCUUCGGAAAUGCGAGAGCGGCGUACGGGUGCGUAACACGUGUGCAACCUGCCUUUAUCUGGGGGAUAGCCUUUCGAAAGGAAGAUUAAUACUCCAUAAUAUAUUGAACGGCAUCGUUUAAUAUUGAAAGCUCCGGCGGAUAGAGAUGGGCACGCGCAAGAUUAGCUAGUUGGUGAGGUAACGGCUCACCAAGGCGAUGAUCUUUAGGGGGCCUGAGAGGGUGAUCCCCCACACUGGUACUGAGACACGGACCAGACUCCUACGGGAGGCAGCAGUGAGGAAUAUUGGUCAAUGGGUGCAAGCCUGAACCAGCCAUCCCGCGUGAAGGACGACUGCCCUAUGGGUUGUAAACUUCUUUUGGAUAGGGAUAAACCUACCCUCGAGAGGGUAGCUGAAGGUACUAUACGAAUAAGCACCGGCUAACUCCGUG